AGUGAACGCUGGCGGUAGGCCUAACACAUGCAAGUCGAACGGCAGCACAGUAAGAGCUUGCUCUUACGGGUGGCGAGUGGCGGACGGGUGAGGAAUACAUCGGAAUCUACUUUUUCGUGGGGGAUAACGUAGGUAAACUUACGCUAAUACAGCAUACGACCUACGGGUGAAAGCAGGGGAUCUUCGGACCUUGCGCGAUUGAAUGAGCCGAUGUCGGAUUAGCUAGUUGGCGGGGUUAAGGCCCACCAAGGCGACGAUUCGUAGCUGGUCUGAGUGGAUGAUCAGCCACACUGGAGCUGAGACACGGUCCAGACUCCUACGGGAGGCAGCAGUGGGGAAUAGUGGACAAUGGGCGCAAGCCUGAUCCAGCCAUACCGCGUGGGUGAAGAAGGCCUUCGGGUUGUAAAGCCCUUUUGUUGGGAAAGAAAAGCAGCAGGUUAAUACCCCGCUGUUCUGACGGUACCCAAAGAAUAAGCACCGGCUAACUUCGUG
rnacentral:rRNA from 1 species